rnacentral:rRNA from 1 species
UACGGGGGGGGGUAAGCGUUGUUCGGAAUUACUGGGCGUAAAGGGCUCGUAGGCGGCCAACUAAGUCAUACGUGAAAUCCCCAGGCUUAACCUGGGAACUGCGUCGGAUACUGGAUGGCUUGAAUUCGGGAGAGGAAUGCAGAAUUCCAGGUGUAGCGGUGAAAUGCGUAGAUAUCAGGAGGAACACCGGUGGCGAAGGCGGGUCUCUGGGCCGAUACUGACGCUGAGGAGCGAAAGCGUGGGGAGCGAACAGG